UCGACGAUGAAGCCUAGCUUGCUAGGUGGAUUAGUGGCGAACGGGUGAGUAAUACGUGAGUAACCUACCUUUAACUCUGGGAUAAGCCUGGGAAACUGGGUCUAAUACCGGAUACGACCAAUCUCCGCAUGGGGUGUUGGUGGAAAGCGUUAUGUAGUGGUUAUAGAUGGGCUCACGGCCUAUCAGCUUGUUGGUGAGGUAACGGCUCACCAAGGCGACGACGGGUAGCCGGCCUGAGAGGGUGACCGGCCACACUGGGACUGAGACACGGCCCAGACUCCUACGGGAGGCAGCAGUGGGGAAUAUUGCACGACGGGCGCAAGCCUGAUGCAGCGACGCCGCGUGAGGGAUGACGGCCUUCGGGUUGUAAACCUCUGUUAGCAGGGAAGAAGAGAGAUUGACGGUACCUGCAGAGAAAGCGCCGGCUAACUACGUGCCAGCAGCCGCGGUAAUACGUAGGGCGCGAGCGUUGUCCGGAAUUAUUGGGCGUAAAGAGCUUGUAGGCGGUUUGUCGCGUCUGCUGUGAAAGGCCGGAGCUUAACUCCGUGUAUUGCAGUGGGUACGGGCAGACUAGAGUGCAGUAGGGGAGACUGGAAUUCCUGGUGU
rnacentral:rRNA from 1 species